AAAGUUCUUUGUUUUAUUUCAGCCGAUACGGCGAGAGAGUUGGAGCGUUUGGGCGAGUACAGAGGAAAGAAGGCAGAGGAUAUUGUUGGCUGGGCAAAGACGGAGACAAGGGUUUGGCAGAAACAGACACCGGGCUGAGUAUAUUGGAAUGUCUACUUAACUGUGAAAUGCUCCAUGGACAUGUGUAACAAAUUCUGAGUGGUUGAAAACAGGAAGACUCACCGGAAGUAUCGCCGAAGGAGGCCUUUUCGACAGGGCACGUGGCAGCAGGAGAAGUAUCCAGGAGCUGGAAAGAAGAGGGAAAAGAGACCUCGUGUAGUAACGGUGUGAGUACCCUAAACCAUCGUACAGCAGUAUAAUCAUCUAGAGUGAACCAUCUGUGAGCGUUUUGUGAGUUUGUGGCAUAGUAUGUGAGCGGCCCCACCGUGGAGGAGGAUUGUGGGUGAGCCGGGACCAGUGAGUGAGAGAGGAUGUUGGGCUGUUGUGGCGGCAACGUUUAAAUCUGAAUAUUCGUGGCAUCAGUGUCUUCACGACUCCCAGGAAGAGUCUUUGGUCAGACGGGGUGUUGACCCUAAAUUCACCAGAGUGUGUGGAGUGCAGUGGGCCCGACGAAAUCCUGUGAAGGAAGUGAAUACCGAGGCGGGCGAAGAAAACAUCUCCAACUAUAUGCCGUCGAUGACAUCCUGACCCUUCUUCCCCACGUGACGGUGGUGGGAAACAAUUUCAAAAAGAAGAGGGAAGCGUUCGACCCAUCCAGUGUAGUACACCCCGGGUGAGACAACUUACCUGUGUGUGACGCCAGCGGAGGCCGUGUUCGGCCCAACGCAACAGUUUUCGAUCCGCCUCUCUAUCAGCAGUUGGUAGAAGCCUCAGAAAAGGAACGUCUGACGUCUAUUCCCUCGAAGAUCUAGCGGGUCCCUUUGAAGCGUCUACCUGCAUGUCGACUCGUCACUCAGGAUACAGAGACCGUGGAAACCCCCCCCC
ensembl:lncRNA